rnacentral:rRNA from 1 species
UACGUAGGUGACAAGCGUUGUCCGGAUUUACUGGGCGUAAAGAGCGCGCAGGCGGUCGAUCAAGUCGAGUGUGAAAGCCCCCGGCUCAACUGGGGAGGGUCAUUCGAUACUGAUCGACUCGAAGGCAGGAGAGGGUAGUGGAAUUCCCAGUGUAGAGGUGAAAUUCGUAGAUAUUGGGAAGAACACCGGUGGCGAAGGCGGCGACCUGGUCCUUGACUGACGCUGAGGCGCGAAAGCGUGGGGAGCAAACAGG